rnacentral:rRNA from 1 species
UGGGGAAUAUUGGACAAUGGGCGCAAGCCUGAUCCAGCCAUGCCGCGUGAGUUAUGAAGGCCUUAGGGUUGUAAAGCUCUUUCGCCAGGGACGAUAAUGACGGUACCUGGAUAAGAAGCCCCGGCUAACUUCGUGCCAGCAGCCGCGGUAAUACGAAGGGGGCUAGCGUUGUUCGGAAUCACUGGGCGUAAAGCGCAUGCAGGCGGACUGAUAAGUCAGGGGUGAAAGCCCGAGGCUCAACCUCGGAACUGCCUUUGAUACUGUCAGUCUUGAGUCCGGGAGAGGUGAGUGGAACUGCGAGUGUAGAGGUGAAAUUCGUAGAUAUUCGCAAGAACACCAGUGGCGAAGGCGGCUCACUGGCCCGGUACUGACGCUGAGAUGCGAAAGCGUGGGGAGCAAACA